GACAAAGGCUCUUUCCAUAUGUAUUCAAUUCCUACCACCGUAGUGGAAGAGAGGCUAUCCCUAUCUUUACAACUGAUAGCAUUUCCAACAGUAAGCUGUGAGAUUCUGCUUGAAAUCACCUCUCAAACAAAUAAAAAACAGACCUGGGAGACACGCUACACUCAUUCUGCUGAAGAAAUAG
rnacentral:lncRNA from 1 species